AGUGAACGCUGGCGGUAGGCCUAACACAUGCAAGUCGAACGGCAGCACAGUAAGAGCUUGCUCUUACGGGUGGCGAGUGGCGGACGGGUGAGGAAUACAUCGGAAUCUACUUUUUCGUGGGGGAUAACGUAGGGAAUCUUACGCUAAUACCGCAUACGACCUACGGGUGAAAGCAGGGGAUCUUCGGACCUUGCGCGAUUGAAUGAGCCGAUGUCGGAUUAGCUAGUUGGCGGGGUAAAGGCCCACCAAGGCGACGAUCCGUAGCUGGUCUGAGAGGAUGAUCAGCCACACUGGAACUGAGACACGGUCCAGACUCCUACGGGAGGCAGCAGUGGGGAAUAUUGGACAAUGGGCGCAAGCCUGAUCCAGCCAUACCGCGUGGGUGAAGAAGGCCUUCGGGUUGUAAAGCCCUUUUGUUGGAAAGAAAAGCAGCAGGUUAAUACCCCGCUGUUCUGACGGUACCCAAAGAAUAAGCACCGGCUAACUUCGUG
rnacentral:rRNA from 1 species